rnacentral:lncRNA from 1 species
UCGACACAUGGUUCGGUUGUAUGCAGACCAGAUCAUGGCUCUCCACUUCCACCAUUUACAUCCCGUGGUCCAGUCGACUCUUUGGGCCAGCUUCCAUCUGGCGGUUGGCGGCGCUGCGUUUCGUUUCCCACGCUUGGCGGCUGGCUGCAGCUGCUCCGUCGAUCGAAUCCAAUCUGAUCCGAUCCGACGACGAUGCCGAGAAUGCCCACUGCCCCAGCAGCGGUGUCUGCCUGAUACCAGUAUUCUAAUGCGCCCGGGACACGGUUAGAGAUUAAUUAAUAUUGCAUCUCGUUAAGCGGCAGAAAGGUUUCUUUUUGUUUUAUUUUAGCAAUUCAUUUCAAAGCAGGAAAUUCCAAUAGAAUUUUUAGCCAGAGUGCAGCUCGGAUUGGAUUCAAUUCAUGUGAAUUUUGGAUGACUCGCCACUCGCCUGAAGAAGAUCUCUCUCUCUCUCGCUAACCAUAAAAAGCAUAGAAACUAUUUAUGUUGAACCUAACGAAUGUCCGCUAAAUAUCAAACACAAUCUUGAGAGUUUUUUGGCUAUUGUAUUUUUUUUUGUGUGUUGGUUUUCUGCCUUCAAGGUCUUGUGGCGGCAGACAGCGAUUUAUG